ensembl:lncRNA
UCUGUAUUACACAGCAGCUUUCCUUGAAUUGAGUACUUUGGGCACAAACAUACCUGUUCAGGAAGUGCCCCCAUUUCUUCUGAACACCACUUAAGCUUAGACACAUUUGAUUUCUUGGUUGCUUCUUGGGAAGAGCCCACUCUUGACAAGAGGAGCCAACAUCUGGGGUCAUUACUGAAAGACACAAGUGAGGAAGAUAACAUCCAAUACUCUUUCUUUAAAACCACAGGAUACAGCUUCUUGAUGCACCCUGAAACCAUCUCCCAGCUAGUCCUGGUCCCCCUUGCAACCUCCAGACAUGGAAAAUUUCAGAAUGGCUGUAUCUGAAGGCCAGUUGGAACCAAAGGACUUACUACUUUUAAUCUUUCAGAGAUAAUAAUGAAUAAUCUCCUUCACUCCCACCCAAACAGUGGACAGGACAGCGUACUGCAUGGGAGUUGUCUUAAAGUGUUGAAUUGCUGGCAUUUCCUGACAGACUUUUGGAACAAGGGUUACAUGUCAGCUGUUUGUGCAAACUGUGAACACCUCACCGGAUGGAAGGGGUACCAGAAUACAUGAUUAUGAAGGGAUUAUGAUGGGAAAUUAGUUUGUAGUAGAGCAGGAGAGUAAACAGCUAAUUUUUGGUAGGUACUGAACCUGGAGCUUUGUCUUCUGCAGAGCAAUGUCUUUCCUCUUUAAUUCCCUUUGCCACGUAGUGCAGGGAGUAGUUAAGAUCAAGAAAACAGAUGUUUUGAUGCCCUUCCCUGACAAUCCAUCUCCCUAGGGAAAUAGUUGAAGAUCUAAUGGACAUUUAAAAUUAGACUGGACAAAGAACUAGAAAGUAUGGUAUAGGGAAUGACCCUGCACUGGCCUUAGGGAGAUGGAGGGAACAAGUCUUAUUUAUCGCUAGUUUCCUCUCUCUCUAAAGGAGGAGGAGGAGGAUGUGCACACAAGUAUGCCAUCCUUUCAUUCUUUGACCUGCCUGGAUAAACAGAGGUAGGAGCACACAUUUAAACCAUCUACAAUGUUGAGAUUCAUAUUAAGAUCUUGAAUGCAGAAGAACCCAUUGCAGGUCUGAGAUAAAUUCUAAGACUGGAAUUCUGAUUUUUGCCUUAUUUCCCUGCUCAUUUCCAUCCUCUCUGCUCCCCUCAAAGCUCCGAAGAGCGGCCAACCAUUCCUGUCAUGUCUCUGUCUGCAAGGUGGUCAUUUCACACUAGGCCACUCUGCUCUUCUCUCUCUAUUUCCGUCAGUGAGGAAUCGAGACUGGCUCUGUUAGACUGACAUCUGAUAAAAGCCAGCUUUGUGGCUGAUGGGGAAGGGCUCUUUGCUGUCACUGGUGCCAUCUGAUUCUCCUCUACCACCCAUUCUCUCCCAUGCUGUUACCUUACUGUGCCUUGGGAGCUACUUAAGCAACCAGGGACAAAGAAGGAUCUUAUUUGUUUGCUGCCAGCACUGAAAUGGCUCUGACAGGUCUAGGCACUGCAGCAGUGUAUGUUCAAGGUGCAGUGCAGUGCAGCUCACUUGAAGAGAGACUGUAAUGUCAAAAGCAACAGAGAGUCCUGUGGCACCUUAUAGACUAACAGAUGUAUUGGAGCAUAAGCUUUUGUGGGUGAAUACCCACUUCGUCAGAUGCAUGUAAUGGAAAUUUCCAGAGGCAGGUAUAAAUAUGCAGGCCAGAAUCAGUCUGGAGAUAACGAGGUUAGUCCAAUCAGGGAGAAUGAGGCCCUCUUCUAGCAGUUGAGGUCUGAACACCAAGGGAGGAGAAACUGCUUUUGUAGUUGGCUAGCCAUUCACAGUCUUUGUUUAAUCCUGUCAAAUUUGCAAAUGAACUGAAGCUCAGGAGUUUCUCUUUGAAGUCUGGUCCUGAAGUUUUUUUGCUGUAGGAUGGCUACCUUAAAAUCUGUUCAUGUGUGGCCAGGAAGGUUGUAAUGUCAAACUCUGAUAUCACUGAAACUCUGAGUAAGGCUCUCCAUCUCUUGCAGGUCUGAGGAGAUUCUGUGAAAGAGAGAUAUAUGAUAAGAAAAUAAUCUGGGGAAUGCAAGCAAUGCCCCACCCCAUGCUGCUAAGAGUGCGUGCAUGCUGGAUCAGGAGAAAGCAAUAAACCUGCCCUGUGAACUGGUCUCA